AGCGAGAUGGCAGAGUUCGGUUUAUUGCGUUUGAUUUGAAAUCAAAUGAAUUUUUAAAUUCCGUGGGUUCAAAUCCCACUCUCGCU
rnacentral:tRNA from 1 species